UCGAGAAUCUUUCGCAAUGGGCGCAAGCCUGACGAAGCGACGCCGUGUGAGCGAAGAAGGCCUUCGGGUUGUAAAGCUCUUUCGCUAGGGAACAAGAAAGGCAGGAUAACACCUUGCCAAUUUGAUGGUACUUGGUAAAGAAGCACCGGCUAACUCCGUGCCAGCAGCUGCGGUAAUACGGAGGGUGCAAGCAUUGAUCGGAAUUACUGGGCGUAAAGGGCGCGUAGGCGGUUAGGAAAGUCAGAUGUGAAAUUCCGGGGCUCAACCCCGGAGCUGCAUUUGAAACUUCCCAACUAGAGUACAGUUAGGGUAAACGGAAUUCCACGUGUAGCGGUGAAAUGCGUAGAUAUGUGGAAGAACACCGGUGGUGAAGACGGUUUACUGGGCUGUAACUGACGCUGAGGCGCGAAAGCAAGGGGAGCAAACAGGAUUAGAUACCCCCGUAGUCC
rnacentral:rRNA from 1 species